rnacentral:rRNA from 1 species
CUGGUCGAGAGGUCCUGCGCCGAAAAUGUCCGGGGCUGAAACGCGCCACCGAAACUAAGGAAUCCGUAAGGAUUGGUAGAGGAGCAUUGCAUAUGGGAAGAAGCAGUACCGUAAGGAGCUGUGGACUAUAUGGAAGAGAGAAUGCCGGAAUGAGUAGCGAGAUAGAGGUGGGAAUCCUCUAGGCCGAAUAUCCAAGGUUUCCAGGGUAAAGCUGAUCUGCCCUGGGUGAGUCGGGACCUAAGGUGAGGGCGAGAGCCGUAGCCGAUGGACAACAGGUUGAUAUUCCUGUACUGCAGUAUAACAGAACUGUGGGGACACGUAAGGAGAGCGGGAGCCGGGGAUGGAUUGUCCCGGUACAAGCGAGGUACCAGUAUGGUAGGAAAAUCCGCCAUGCAAUGGGAAGACGUGAUGUGGAGUGAAAUAUAGUAACGAAGCCCGUGAGCCAUGCGUCAAGAAAAGCCGCUAUUGUUUAUAUUGUACCCGUACCGUAAACCGACACAGGUGGAUGAGGAGAGAAUCCUAAGGCCGGCGGAAGAAGUAUUGCCAAGGAACUCGGCAAAAUGGCCCCGUAACUUAGGGAGAAGGGGUGCCUGCGAGAGCAGGCCGCAGAGAAUAGGCUCAAGCAACUGUUUAGCAAAAACACAGGUCUAUGCGAAACCGAAAGGUGAGGUAUAUGGGCUGACGCCUGCCCGGUGCUGGAAGGUUAAGAGGAGAGGUCAGACGCAAGUCGAAGCUUUGAAUUUAAGCCCCAGUAAACGGCGGCCGUAACUAUAACGGUCCUAAGGUAGCGAAAUUCCUUGUCGGGUAAGUUCCGACCCGCACGAAAGGCGUAAUGAUUUGAGCGCUGUCUCGGCAAUACAUCCGGUGAAAUUGAAGUGCCAGUGAAGAUGCUGGCUACCCGCGCCAGGACGGAAAGACCCCAUGGAGCUUUACUCCAGUUUGGCACUGGGGUCCGGUGUUGCAUGUACAGGAUAGGUGGGAGGCUGAGAAACGGUAACGUCAGUUGCCGCGGAGCCGCUGUUGGGAUACCACCCUUGUGAUAUUGGGCUUCUAACCAGCCGCCGUGAUCCGGCGGUGGGACAAUGCCAGGCGGGGAGUUUGACUGGGGCGGUCGCCUCCGAAAGGGUAUCGGAGGCGCCCAAAGGUUCCCUCAGAAUGGACGGAAACCAUUCGAAGAGUGCAAAGGCAGAAGGGAGCUUGACUGCGACACCGACGGGUGGAGCAGGUACGAAAGUAGGGCUUAGUGAUCCGGUGGUAUUAAGUGGGAAUGCCAUCGCUCAACGGAUAAAAGCUACCCUGGGGAUAACAGGCUUAUCACUCCCAAGAGUUCACAUCGACGGAGUGGUUUGGCACCUCGAUGUCGGCUCAUCGCAUCCUGGGGCUGUAGUA